UGAGAUAUUCGGAUAUUGGGCGUAAGCGAGCGCAGGCGGUUUUUUAAGUCUGAUGUGAAAGCCCUCGGCUUAACCUGGGAAGUGCAUCGGAUACUGGGAAACUUGAGUGCAGAAGAGGACAGUGGAACUCCAUGUGUAGCGGUGAAAUGCGUAGAUAUAUGGAAGAACACCAGUGGCGAAGGCGGCUGUCUGGUCUGUAACUGACGCUGAGGCUCGAAAGCAUGGGUAGCGAACAGGAUUAGAUACCCUGGUAGUCCAUGCCGUAAACGAUGAAUGCUAGGUGUUGGAGGGUUUCCGCCCUUCAGUGCCGCAGCUAACGCAUUAAGCAUUCCGCCUGGGGAGUACGACCGCAAGGUUGAAACUCAAAGGAAUUGACGGGGGCCCGCACAAGCGGUGGAGCAUGUGGUUUAAUUCGAAGCAACGCGAAAAAACCUUACAAA
rnacentral:rRNA from 1 species